UUUAGAAUAAAUGAUAAUGACAGGUAGAUAAGUUUAGGAUUGGAGUAAUUAAAAAUUUGUCACCAUAUAUUAUGUUGUAAUGCAAGUGAUAAGAUUUAACUCUCCAUGAUCACUAAUUGCUAUACCCAGAUAGUGAUUGACAAAUGGUUCCCACAAAUAUCAAACAUGUAGACCCCUCUCCUUUCCCUAUCGCCCAGCAAUCAUCUCUUCCCUUUUCUCCACUAUUAUGUUUAUAUUCUCUUGUGUCUUUAUUUUCCAUUUAC
rnacentral:lncRNA from 1 species